rnacentral:rRNA from 1 species
GACGAACGCUGGCGGCGUGCUUAACACAUGCAAGUCGAACGGAAAGGCCUGCUUUCCCUUGUGGAUUGCGGGUACUCGAGUGGCGAACGGGUGAGUAACACGUGAGUGAUCUGCCCCCAACUUGGGUAUAAGCCUGGGAAACUGGGUCUAAUUCCCGAUAGGACUGCAGGGUGGUGCCUGUGGUGGAAAACGAUUUUCUAGUGGUUGGGGAUGAGCUCGCGGCCUAUCAGCUUGUUGGUGGGGUAAUGGCCUACCAAGGCGGCGACGGGUAGCCGGCCUGAGAGGGUGGACGGCCACAUUGGGACUGAGAUACGGCCCAGACGCCUACGGGAGGCAGCAGUGGGGAAUAUUGCACAAUGGGCGGAAGCCUGAUGCAGCGACGCCGCGUGGGGGAUGACGGCCUUCGGGUUGUAAGCUCCUUUCGACCGCGAGGAAGCCACCUGGUUGGAAGGGUGGUGACGGUAGUGGUAGAAGAAGCACCGGCUAACUACGUG